CUUUUCUUCACAAUUUUAAUGUUCCUGAGCAGCAAAACGAAUUCUUCCUAAGGUUCACCUCCCUUUCUGCCAAAGCCAACAACGACAACAACACCGAUCUCUUCACCUCCUUGAUCUCAGACAUCAAAUCCUACUCUGGCAACGACCCUCUUCUCGCAUGGCUCCAAUAUGCCUCUCUCUUUCUUUGUGGGUAGCUCUUUUAAUGGUUUUAAAAAGUAAGAUUGUUUGGCAUUUUGUAUAUACAGAGGGAUCAGAAAGAUGAAGGAUUCGCUGCCUUCGCAAGUACUGAACGAGAAGCUGCCACGGUUUUUGCAGAAGUGCGCGCAGACCUUCGAUUCCGAUCGCCGUUACAAAAACGACUUACGGUACCUCCGCGUUUGGUUACAGUUGAGAUGAGGUGGGUUCUUUCUAAAAUCCUUGAUAGCUCUUUCUCUCGCUGUCAAUGGCAGACAAGAAAUUAGGGUUCUUCACUAUAAAAGAAGAGGAUUAUGGAGGCAUAAAGAGAGGGGAGGCACGUACUACUACAGAAAGAAGGAUCACCAAAGAGUAAGACCUUUCUUUUAUUCUGCACUUUUAUUUAGUUGCUUUUCUGAAAUUUAAUAAUUUGUUAAGAUAAAGAGAGGCUGGAACCACUACCGGUGAGUUUUUAUCUUCAAUUUAAGUUUGUUUAUUAAUUGUGAUUAGGUUUUGAUAUUCACAACCAACCCAAUAUCAGAUCGCUGGAACUGCUACAAGUAAAAUCGUUUAUGUUAAUUUUGUGCGUUUAAUAGGAUUUAGGUUUUGCUAUUUUGGUUGGUUGGUUUUGAUUUAAGAAAUUGGUUUAGAUUUUGUAUAGUCAAAACCUAAUAUAGAUUCCUUUCAAUAUAUAACCCUCUAUAUAUUCCCAUCAGUGGCCAUAGAAGAGUGACCACUCUCUAACAAACUGAUUUUAUUUUGGUUUAUUUGGAAAUAUCUCAUGUCUCAUUCUUUUAAUGUGUUGUGGCUUAUAAGAGAAGAGCCAGUUAUGAGGAGAAGUUUGUUGAUUCUAUGUAGAAGAAAGCUAAGGAGGAAAAAGGUUGAAUUUGCAUCAAAGAGAUUCUUGGUAUUCUUUCGUGGACUUACAGAUUGAUUAAUUUUGAUAGCAACCAGAUUCCAAGAUCCUUCAAAGGCAAUGAUUUUUUAGGAUAUAAUAUUUGGUUCCGGAAAAUUAGCCUGUUUUCUAUUGAAACUAACAGAAUUUGUAUUGCUCUAUUUAUUUAUUUGGUUGGUUGAGAAAUUCUGUUGAUGGGUUUUGUUGGUGAGAAUUUCUACGCUGAAUCUAAAAUUUAAUACUAAAUAUUAAAUUUGAUGUU